UACGUAGGGCGCAAGCGUUGUCCGGAAUUAUUGGGCGUAAAGAGCUCGUAGGCGGUCUGUUGCGUCCGCCGUGAAAUCCCGAGGCUUAACCCCGAGCCUGCAGUGGAUACGGGCAGACUAGAGGUAGGUAGGGGAGAAUGGAAUUCCCGGUGUAGCGGUGAAAUGCGCAGAUAUCAGGAAGAACACCCGUGGCGAAGGCGGCUCUCUGGGACGGUACUGACGCUGAGACGCGAAAGCGUGGGGAGCGAACAGG
rnacentral:rRNA from 1 species